ACUCUACCGCACGAAACAAGCUCCCCGCUGGAUGUAUGAAAGAAAUCAUGCUGUUUGCCUUCCAUUAAUACAUCUACUGAGCUGCUCGUUCAAAGACUUAACCGUUGCCUGCCAAUGCAGCCUGUAAUGCCUUUCAAUGAUGGCUAAUCUAUACAAAAUAUGGAUUACAGUACCGCAAUACGCCAAUUAAACCUUAAGAAAAAGAUUGAUGUUUGAAAACAGUACUACAAGGAUCCCAAUCUCUAUUGAUGCCACAUUAGUUUUGUUACAAAAGAGAAGUGCUCGGAACAGAACCUUGUCUCCCAGCAUCCUAACAGACAGUUUCCUAGGACACAAACUAUGAGGCAAGAACGGGUACCACAAGGACACAUGCAUGCUACGGCACAGGGAUACAAAAACAUGGGAAGGCAAAGCCUGAAGCUUUAAAGCCUUGGUGUCCAUUUCAAGGCAACAAAGUGGUACAUACAAUAGAAAUAAAACAGGUUUCCAUACA